UCCAACCGCUCAAGCUGCUACCGUUGGAUUUGUUUAACUCUGGCAUAUCGUUAGGCGCUGGGUAGUGUUAGCCACCUAGUGACAUUAGCAGAACCCAGGUGUUACUACUGCAGUGGUUGGUGUUGUUGAUGUGUGGAUUAACCGUGUACCACCAGUGAUAUAAUGCACGUGGGAGAGUUUCUUCUUAUAGUUAUCCAGCUGUUGAAUAACGUAUGGCUUGGAAGGACAGCAGGGAUGGAGGUGACGCCCGCACAGCUGUUACUCCGUCGCAAAAUUUUGGUGGUUUCCCUGGACGGCUUCGGACACGACUACCUGACCAAGUACCAGUGGCAGCACCUGAGUAAUCUUUACGCUCAUGGCAGUUAUCCCUAUAGGUUCAGAAAUCAGUUUGUAACCAAGACUUUCCCCAACCAUUUCUCAGUUGCCACAGGUAUGUAUGAAGAGGCACAUGGUGUGGUUGGCAACAAUGUGUAUGAGCCUCAGUUGAAGCAAACAUUUGAAGUGAGCGAUGCAGAAUUAUUUACUCAGAAUCCUCAUGUCUCUCCAAUUUGGACAUUAAAUGAGGAGCAUGGAGGACAUAGUGGGUGCAUCAUGUGGCCAGGCUGCGAUUUUGCAUACCGUGGAAAAAAUGUGACAUUCUGGUCUCCAUAUCAUGAACGAGCUGCAUUAAAAGAAAGCAUAGAUACAAGCAUCCAGUGGUUUACAAAUGAACAGACUCCUGCCAACCUUAUCUUUCUUUACCAUGAAGAACCUGAUCAUUUGGGUCAUAUUUAUGGGCCUAAUUCAUCUCAAGUUUUAAAAGAAUUGAAAAAAAUUGAUGAAGAUAUCGGAUAUCUGUACCAUAUGCUUCAGUUGCAUGGACUGAAGGACACUGUAGAUGUGAUUAUUCUAAGUGACCAUGGCAUGAGUGCUGUUAAAGAAGAGAACAUAAUUGACCUGAAUGCCAUAGUAGAUCAUGACCUGUACAACACAUCUGGAAACUCUCCUAUGUUACAAGUCUGGACAACACCUGAAAAUUUCAAGGUGGUAUAUUCACAUUUGAUGAAGAGAAUAAAAACAGAGAAGUACAUGGUAUACUUAAACAGUGAUGAUAAGCUAAAGUCUUGGCAUUUCACAAACAACACACGCAUCAGUGAAAUUACUCUACUUGCUGAAGAGGGCUAUGUCUUUCAAGAUUUUAAGAAGUAUAUUGAAGGAAUUAAGAACAGUGGACUCUCAGAUUUGACAGACACACAUGGUGACCAUGGAUACCCUGUUGAUGUGCCUAGCAUGGAGCCAAUAUUUGUAGCUGUGGGACCAUCAUUCAAGCAAGGAUUUGAGGCUCUGGAGUUCAGCAACAUAGAUGUGUACCUCCUGUUGUGUCAUAUGUUGUAUCUCCCUCCUGGACCUCAUAAUGGGACUUUUGACCACAUCAACUCUAUUUUAAUGGAGCCAGUGUCAUCAAUGCUCAUUCUUCCUGUGACAAUUAGUUUAGGGUUAUCUUCGGUAUACUUCUUGGUGCUUCAUUAUAACCAGGGUGCUUAGUUGUACUCGUAGGACUGAUUGGUUUUCUGAUUACCAGAAGCAAACGUAAACCUGUUUCAGCUGAGGCUCUCAUCAGUGGAUAUGUGCACAGGAAAGCAAAGCGUGGAGGCAAGGAGCCAUUACAAGACAUAAGUGAAG
rnacentral:misc_RNA from 1 species